rnacentral:tRNA from 1 species
GCCGAGGUGGCUCAGUGGUACGGCGCCAGUCUGGAAAGCUGGUGGCGGCAACGCCUCGGGAGUUCGAAUCUCCCCCUCGGCG